UGUAGUGCUUGAUAGGGAGAUGGGAAGAGAGGUGGUUGGGAAGGCAGUAAGGGGCCAGAUUGUAUAGGACCUGUUGUUGUACCUUGGUAAGAGGUUAGAAUUUUGUUUAAAGAACAGUGAAAAGUCACUGGAGAAUUUUAUGUGACCUUGAUUUAUUUUUAAUUAUAAAAUAUUUCAGGUAUCCGAGAAUGUAUGGGUAACAAGAGAAUGAAUAUCUCAAGAAAUCAGACUUUGUUGAAAUCCCCCCCUUUUGAACCUAAUCCCCUCUCUCUUUAAAGGUAAUGGAAUAUAUAGAGACAAGAGUGGAAACGUGUAAACCAGUUGAAAGACUCUUCAGAGUGCAGCAGAAAUCCAGCGGUGGCUGCAGUUAAGGGUACAUGUUGGUUGCUUAUACACCACACUGAACCAUAGAUUUGGGGAACUUGACCUUACUUUUCUUCAACAGUCCCAGGGGCAACCAUGCUGCAGAUCUAUUAUCAGGACCAUGGAGUCCUAAGAGGAAAGUGGGAUUUUCAUCAACAUUAGAAGUAAAUUUCCAGGAGAGCCCUGGAUUUUGAAAAUUCUCUGAGGCUCCAGUGGUAAGUUGAGAUAAAUCAGGCCUCCUGGGGCAGUCUGGGUUCAGACACCCUAUUUCUAUGCUGCUUUCUCCCCUACUCACUCCUUGGCUGGUGGGAAAAAGAAAAACUCAUCCUUCUAAGGUAAAGAAUUUAAGAAUGAGAGCUGUUUGCUGUUUUUUAAAUCUCUGGUCUUCAAGUUACAUGAUUCUCUCAUUCUAUUUUAUCUUAUUUUUGUUUUGUUAUCACUGCUAUGUCUUUUGGCUCCUCUUCCUCUGUGGGGUGAAGUUUGAUCUUUACAAAGAAAGAGGAAGUAUGAGGCUUUAUUUUUUUCUAAUUUAUGUUCACUCCUUGUAUAACCUUGCAAGUGUCACUUGACUUCCUGUACUGUGUAGAUUCUUAAUCUAUAAAACAGCAUGUCAAUAUCAAUUCUGCUUCAUUUGCAAAACAUUAACAGUCAGUCAUUUUAGUUACAUUAUUUGACCUCAAUAGAACUUUCCUCUAAUAAUUAUGCUUUCUAAUCAUGAAUUUAACACUAGAAUGCACUAUUGAUUUUCAAAUAUUUAAAAUUUAAAUACAAAAAUAUUUAAACCAUACUCACCUUGAUUCCCUGUGUUUAUAUUUCAUUACACUUAUUAGAGAUUUUGUAGGUGGCAGAAUAUUCCUUUUGAGAAAUACCUUGAAUUACAAGGCUUCAUAUUCAAAAUUUGACUUGAACAAAAUAUAUUCCCAUAUUCAUUAAUAAUAUGAAACUAAACUAGCUUCAGCCUUUGUAAGUUAUGCUUUUAAUUUUCACAAGAAAAAAGUUGUAGUCAGUUAAUGACUUUAUUUUACAUAUCAUUUUUCAGUUCACUUCAGUCGUUCAGUCAUGUCCGACUCUUUGUCAGACUCUGGACUGUACCAUGCCAGGCUUAUCAUUUUUCAGUGCUCUUCCACUUUUCUUCAAAGGAGGAAAGA